rnacentral:rRNA from 1 species
UGCAAGUCGAGCGGAGAUUAAAAAGCUUGCUUUUUAAUCUUAGCGGCGGACGGGUGAGUAACGCGUGGGUAACCUGCCCUAUACACACGGAUAACAUAUCGAAAGAUAUGCUAAUACGAGAUAACACAUUUUUAAGGCAUCUUAGAAAUGUCAAAGCGUUAGCGGUAUAGGAUGGACCCGCGUCCCAUUAGCUAGUUGGUGAGAUAAAAGCUUACCAAGGCGACGAUGGGUAGCCGACCUGAGAGGGUGAUCGGCCACACUGGAACUGAGACACGGUCCAGACUCCUACGGGAGGCAGCAGUGGGGAAUAUUGCACAAUGGGGGAAACCCUGAUGCAGCAACGCCGCGUGAGCGAUGAAGGCCUUCGGGUCGUAAAGCUCUGUCCUAAGGGAAGAUAAUGACGGUACCUUAGGAGGAAGCCCCGGCUAACUACGUGCCAGCAGCCGCGGUAAUACGUAGGGGGCAAGCGUUAUCCGGAAUUACUGGGCGUAAAGGGUGCGUAGGCGGCCUUGUAAGUCAGAAGUGAAAGGCUACGGCUCAACCGUAGUAAGCUUUUGAAACUGCAGGGCUUGAGUGCAGGAGAGGAGAGUAGAAUUCCUAGUGUAGCGGUGAAAUGCGUAGAUAUUAGGAGGAAUACCAGUUGCGAAGGCGGCUCUCUGGACUGUAACUGACGCUGAGGCACGAAAGCGUGGGGAGCGAACAGGAUUAGAUACCCUGGUAGUCCACGCCGUAAACGAUGAGUGCUAGGUGUCGGGGGUUACCCCCCUCGGUGCCGCAGCUAACGCAUUAAGCACUCCGCCUGGGGAGUACGCUCGCAAGAGUGAAACUCAAAGGAAUUGA